UCUCUCAACCGGUAUCUCUAUCUCUGGUUCUCCCUAAAACCUUCUCUUCUCCCUUCUCUCCAAUGGACCAUGGCCACCUUCUCCGGCCACGUUCCUCUUCGGAAACCAUAGCCUCUCAUCAUCAUCUGGUCUCUGCUUCACCCCACGCCAGUUUGACACUACCCUGAGGUCGUUAAGUGAACCUGGAGUGGUUCAACUCCAGCCCAUAGUCCUUCAUGCCAUUUUCUAGCCACCUCCAGCUGUUCGAGUAAGAUUUGUGACUUUUUCGGCUAAAACCGGUAAUAUUAUAAGGUUUUCUCAUCUUUUAUGUGUUCUCUGAAACCCUAACUCUUAAGAUUUUCCAAUUUCUUUUAGAUCUGUAUUAGAUCUGUGUAUAUUAUGAGCUUUUGUUGUUUUCCUUAAAGGUUUUUUCCGAUUUUUCUAAAGUAACUCUUCAUCUUCAACUAGAGUUUUAACCCCUUUUUUUUUAGAAAAAAAGCACUUUUCUUCUAAUUUUUCUGGGUAUUAAUCGACGACUCUCACUGUGUUUAAAUGUUUCUUUAAGACUUCUCCUUUAUCCAAGCCAUUCUGUUGAAAAUUCUAAUAUUUCUUUAGUUCGGAGUUCGUCUUCGGUGCCAUGUUCAAUUAAUAUGUAUAUUUCUUGUGAACAUCCUGUGAUUAUGUGGUUUUACCCUAUAUUUGCUUGUUAGAGUGUCUUGUUGCAACUAUUCCUGCCUACUAUGUGAUCGUAUUCUAUUUCUUGUUCACCAAUGUUGCUGAAACUUCAGUUCUCCUACCUGUAUUACAUCUAUUCUGUUAAUUUAGGUCAUGCUCUAUGUGAAUUCCUGAUUUGUGUAGUUUUUACCCUAUGCGUGUUUGUUAGAGUUGCUGAUUUUCGUCUACUAUGAGCUUAAUGUAUUUAUUCUCAUGAGCUUAUGCUAAUUUCUCCUAAAUUGGUAUUGUUCUCUAUUUGUGGGUCUUCGAAUCUCUAUGAUUGGUUCUUCAUUGAUCUUGCAUGAUAUUCUCUACUGAUUCUUGAGAUAUCAUUUUAAUUAAGGUUGGUUUCCUGUUUAUCCUUGCCUAUUGAAUUGUACUCCUUUCAUUUGUGAUAUUUUCCUUUGAUAAAUAUUGAUUCCAUGUAAUUAGAACCUCACUCGAGGAUCUCCUUACUAAUUUCCAGAAUAUGAAAAAUCUUGCUUUGUUUCUCUGGCUGAUUCUGCCGUCAAACUAAUUUGUAUAUAUUUUCCUUAAAUAGGAUUCUAAAUAUGACCUUAAUUGCUUGCCUUUAACCUAUAUUACACUUGCACUACUUCUUUAUUGUGUUAUGAGCAUCUUUACUUGAUUCCUUUCCUUAUUUUGCCACUGCUUCUUACCGUUUGAGUAUGAUUCCUUAAUUAAAGGAAAUCUGUAUACUAAAUUGAUUCUAAUUAACAUUUAUUUCAAUAAUUACCGCUGAACUAUUACUUUUACCUUAUUUUCGCCUGCUUUCAAACUAUAUAUACUCUAUUCAUUCAUUAGCAUAACAUACGGACACAAAUCUAUUCAACCCUCUCUCUCUCUCUGACAACUAAAACUCUCUAUUCUCUCUUUUGUGCUACUUGCUACUAUUCUAAGUUAGUCGGCUACAAAUAAAGGCUAACUACUGUGCCUCUCCUAUUUCUGCUUUGUGUUUUUGCUUUCUUCACUUCACCGGUAUGUUCUAAUCAUAUUUCAGUCCUCAAACCAACAUGUUUUUAUUACUGUUAUAAUUCCUUGUAUUUUUAAUAUGCUUUUAUUUAAUAUUUUUGUUGUUCAACAUGUAAUUAGGAUCCCGAAUUCCCUCUACAUAUGCUUUACUUGUCAAUGACCAGCAUUUUUCUGUAUACUUUAUACACGUUUCUCAUAGGAAUCCCCAUGAUUUGUACGUUAGUUUGAUUACGGUCUUAGUUGUUUGGUGUUGAUACGUUAAUCUAAUCCAAUACCCUAUUCCCCCCUGAUCCUCCUAACCUGUAUGAGUUUCUAAUUGUGUGCUCCUAUAUGUUCCUGCCUGCUACAUGUUUGCCCUCACUUGAUCCAUAUUUAUCUCUCCAAUCCCAUUCCCUUGCUUGUAUUUGCUGGACUAUUCUUGGUGCUUGGUGUGAUGCUGACUUUGUUUUGGUUCUGAGAUUGGUAUGCCUGCUCAUUCAAAUUGUUUUCAUCAGUUAAACUUUGUCAUAAAAAUAUUCCAAUUAAUUCUCUCUUUUCAAAACUGUUCUUACUUAAACUCUUCAAAACUAUGUUGAGCACUAUCACUCUACUGUUAGACCACUAAGUUUUGCCCCUUUUGUGUGAGCAUUGCCUUGGAACCCUGAGCUCCCUCUGAACCCUGACACACAAAAGCUGGUCUUUCCACACUGCACUUACUCUAUCUUGGCUAUGAAAUCUAGGUGUGAGCACUGACCAGGAGCCCUUGAGGUCCUUAGGGAACUCUGACACACCCCGAUUAUGAGAAAGGUUGUGAAACAAUACUUGGUAUGAGAAAGGUUGUGAAACAAUACUUGGUAUUGAGGACCUGAAG
rnacentral:lncRNA from 1 species